rnacentral:tRNA from 1 species
GUGGGUAUAGUUCAGUGGUAGAGUACGUGCUUAACAUGCAUGAGGUCCGGGGUUCAAUCCUCAGUGCCCCCA